UUAUACUGUGUAAUUCGAUCUUUUGCUUUAAUACUGCGUUUCAUAUACUUAAUAAUAUAUAUACACACACACACACGUAUGUGUGUAUGUACAGUGUUUCAUAUAGCAAUUUGUACGUAUCUCUACUUUUUCCUGAUGUGUAACAUCUAUCUAUAAGAAGUUUAUUUCCUUGCAGAACAUCCUUGUUGUCUCAAAAUACUACUCACGUAUAACCUUGAAGAGGCUUGCAGAUCUACUGUGUCUUGAUAUCCAGGUCUGAUUGCUUCUGUUUAACAAAUACCAUUUGUUACGAUUUUGUAAUCCUGAAGAUUUCUUGGAUUGCGCUUGGAGUUAUCAGAAAUUUUUUCAUUUAUAAAUUAUUUGCAUGCACUAUUUUCAAGAUUUUACCUUCCUGCCCUAUAAAUAAAUGGAAUAAACAUUUAGAAAGUUCUGGAAUUAGACUGGGGACGUACAAGGUUUAUGAGCUAGCAUAACUUAUCUUUUAUGAUCAGUUUGUAGUCCUUUAUCGGCAGCAUGUCCAGCAUUAUAUAUAUAUGUGAGAAGA
rnacentral:lncRNA from 1 species